rnacentral:misc_RNA from 1 species
AAAUGACCCUGUGGCUUUGUCAAGAGUCGAAUACUUGAAGUUUAGGCUGAUGUCAUGAAGGAUCUUCACUAAUUUCUCAGCAUCAUUUGCACCUUUUCUCUUCCUCUGGAUUUGUUUGUUCUUCCAGACACCAAUACCAAUGAAAGCACCUACUCCGAAAACGACAAAGGAACUAACAACAACAAUGACAAUGACUGCAACUUUUCCUGCAAUGUGGUUAUUUGAAAGUCAAAAAAAAGAUCACUUAUUGGCAAAACUUGAGUGUUUUGUCGAUAAAUAACAGGUA